GCCCGCUUGGCUCAGUGGUAGAGCGUGUCACUAGUAAUUACUCAUGUGAUGACAAGGUCAUCAGUUCGAUUCUGAUAGUGGGCA
rnacentral:tRNA from 1 species